GCCCGCACCGCUCUCGGCCCCGACGCUCCGAGGGACCCCGGGGACGCCGGGUGCGCGGCGCUGAGGUGGCGCCCGGUCGCUCUGCGCCACCGCGAAGGCUCCCGACUCGCGUGCCCUCUGCCGGGUCCCACGGGGUCCAGGCAGCAGGCCGAGCGGAUGCGGGGCGCGCGGGGGCGCGGGCGUGCACGGAGGCGUCGGAGCGCCCGGCGGCGGGAGGGAUUUAGUCCUGGGGUUCUCCGCAGGGCAGGGGAGACUUCCGAGGCGUCCCUUGAGGCCGCGGGGCGUCCGCGCUUACUGUUCCGGGGCUCGCGGGGCUGGAGGCCUUCCCGACCCGACCCCAGCAGGAAGCGCGGAGGCCACUAGAGGGCGG
rnacentral:lncRNA from 10 species